AUAUUUAUUCCCAGUCCAUUGGAAAAUACAAUGCGUUAACUCUGUUCUUAUCAGCUUAAUAUCUGGUACGGGUUCAAAUGGACCCCAGAAUAUUAAACUGAUUUUUGAAAAUCUGCGGGAAGUCAAAUUCUUUGAUGCAGUUGAUGCUUGACGAGUUUUUUUGUUUUUGCUUGUAUUUGUGUUUCCCCAUC